CGUUUCGUUUGCCUCUCCACGGCUCCCUUCCGUUUUCGUUUCUUCUACAGGCAUCGUCCUUUCCUUUUCCUUCUGUUCUCUGUCGUUGUAUAUUUAGCAAUCACCGUUCACCAUUCCAAGCGUCACACAAAUGAGAGACCGAGAAAAAACAAGGGAGAGGAGAGAGCGAGAUCGCGAGGAAGAGAGAUCGAAAAUGGUGACCACAGCGAAGGGGAGAAAUGGUUUCAGUCAACGAAUGCAGCCCAAUUCUUCAAGCAACCGUCGCAUGUUUGGCGCUUCAGUUUUCCCCUAAAACUCUCCCUGAUUUCCAACAUGGACCAACAUCGCAUUUGAAGGAUUUUCGCUCUGCAUACCCUACCUGAUGUUAGGUUUUCAUUGCUGCAAUUUUGUUCUUUCCAGUGAGUAAUAUCACGUCUUCCAUUAUGCCUUUGACAUGCAUCAUGCCAUAAUAGUCUUUGACCUUUACACUGUGGUGGCUAUAUGGUUAUGCAGGUUGCUUCCAUUGCAUCUCCAUUGACCACUUUGUGUUGUAAAUCGUUGAUGGUGAUUUGAAUAUGUUGUUUUGGAAGUUCCAACUUGAAGUUGUGCAAUGUUUAAAUGUGGGAUUGUCAAUAAUUGGUCUGAAUAUAUUGCUCUUUUUAUAUAGAUUGAAUGUGAUUUCAAUAACUUUUAUUCUUGGCAGAUUUGCUGCUUCAAUAACCUGUAAAGAUAUUGUCUCUUCAACCACAACUUUUCUCUUUGCAGAUAUUAUGUCUGCAAUCACAUCGCAUUCAUUUGCUGCUUCGGUAUUCUGUAAAUGCUUCUUCUGGAUUUUUCUAAUUGCAUUGUUUUGGAUUCUGUAUGAUUCUACGUGCUUGGAAGAACAAGUAGUCAAUUAAGGUGUUGAAUCUUAUCUUGGAGUCUUCAAUUGAUACCAUAUUUUUCAACAGUGAUGCCAUUAGAGUAAAUGAAACUCCUAUACUUUAUCCUUUUUUCCUCAUUAUGCUUACACAUGCUCUUGACUUGAUUUAUGCCAUGAUUCCUAAAUUCGUUAAUCUGCUCUCAUAAAAUGUUACUGCACAGCAUACAAUAAGGUCUUAGUAGAGAGUGGAAUAUGGAGGAAUGUGCUACCAUGGAUUUAUGAUUCGUUUCACUACCAAGAGUGGUUAUUUAUUUUCAAGUUAGAGGGAAGAAAAAUAGGAAUCACAUAGCAAUGUUGUUGGAUUUUUAUUUUGCUUUUGACAUUCAUAUUAAGCAUAUGCAUGAUGCAUCUGAAUUCUAACAUAGUGAUAGAGCUAAUGAAUGAAAGAUUAAAAGAAGUACAUCAUAGUAGCUUCUUGGGUUUAAUUAAUUGAAUAUGUUUUGUUUAUUUUUAUUUUCACAAUUCCAAGGAUCAAGUCUCAAAUCUAAAUGCUAACCUGACAGUUGCAAAGUUUUGGAUUCUAUGAUUCUGCAUGCUUGGUAGAAUGAGAAUGGAAUUAAGGUGGUGAAUCUUAUAUUGGAGUCUUAAAUUGAUAUCACAGUUAGCCAAAUUUUUCAACAGUGUCAUUCGAGUGUAUCAUCUUAUGUACCAAAAAAAAAGUGUAUCAUCUUAUGUACCAAAAAAAAAAGUGUAUCAUCUAAUCCAAACCAAAGACAGAUGUUCUCAGGAACGAAAAAAGUAGGAGUAACGAAGAAGAUAAAUGGGAGUGAAUAUGAGAAUUCUUACUGAAUGUACAAGUUGCAGCGUUGUUGUCUCCCGCCAAGGUAUGAAUCAUCCUUCUUUUUACUUUUUUUUCACCUUUGCUAUUUAUUUCCUCUUUCACUCCCAUUCCAUGUUAUGUUCUUUUCUUUUUUUGCCUUCUUUGAAGUUUUGUUUUUCAGCCUAUGCAUUCCCAAGACUAUUCACAGAUACAAUGAUUAUAUAUAAGGAUGUUGGUUUUUCUAUUUACUUAUUUUAUGAAUAAGAAUUAUGUGAGCAGAGAGAGAAAACUGGGACAAAAAAAAUGCUAAAGUGAGUGAUUUUAGACUGCAAGAACUUCAAUCUUCCCAGAACAAGAAAGCAAAGAGCUCAGCCAACAGAGGCAGCAACGAAGUGAAGGACAAGAAAGGUAGUAGUCAGAAAGAUUCAUAUGCUAAUCAACCUCUGAUCAUUUGUAUCAAGUGACAUGAUGCAUUUAGAAACUGUACAAUUUAUUGUUGUUGAUUCUCAAGAGGAUGGAUAUUACAGAUAAGAAGGGUAUGAGUAUAAUCAACUCUGCUAUUAAAUAGUAUUGGCUUAUUUGAGGUCAACACUAUAGGUUUUGGAUAAAAAAAAUGAUGGCUAGAAUGGUAUAUGUGGAGUAAGAAGGAUUAUGGAAAAAUUGUUAAGGCAUGACACUGCCCAUUGCCCAUUGAGGUUAUCCAAAGGCCUAAGUCACUUGAUUUAGAAGUGCAAUUCUCUAGCAGCCUUGAUGAGCCAGUUACUAAGUGAGCUAGGAUCAAGUUUUCAAGAAUUGGUGCUGUUCAGAAGCAUACUAAAACUGCGCCAGCUAGGAGGAAGUCUUCAAGAAUUGGUGCUUUGGAAAACAUACCAAAGAUUUUGAGGCUACCAAAGUCAUGAGGACUAAGGCUCCAAAAGUUAAUUUAUAUUUAAUUAGUUUUUGUGCUCCUUUCUAAUUGUACAUUGGCCUCAGAUUAUGAUUUACCUUUGUAGUUUAGCUUUA